rnacentral:lncRNA from 1 species
UCAAGAGAUGGUAGGUGUUUUGAGUAGAGCUAACACUAAUUAAGGAUCAUCAAGCAACAUCACAUAUUAUAGAGAAUAUUUAGAUAUUUUUUGAACUUAUAUUGAUGUAAUGCUUUGUAUAUGUUUAGCCACUCUACUAAUAUUUAUGUUUGAACUACAUUAGUUUUUCGCUUUUGGAGUUUCAAAUACUUUAAUUAAAUUUUUGAUGUAUG